CAUCCAUCACGACCGGCUGAGGGAUCAGGACCGAUGACGCCGGGGCAACCGCCUCGUGGGCGACCACGAGGAACGGUGCCACCUCCUGCGGGGAGCCUCGGCUCGCCGGAAGAUGGGAC
rnacentral:ncRNA from 2 species